rnacentral:rRNA from 1 species
AUUGAACGCUGGCGGCAGGCUUAACACAUGCAAGUCGAGCGGGGUGAUGGUGCUUGCACUAUCACUUAGCGGCGGACGGGUGAGUAAUGCUUAGGAAUCUGCCUAUUAGUGGGGGACGACAUCUCGAAAGGGAUGCUAAUACCGCAUACGUCCUACGGGAGAAAGCAGGGGAUCACUUGUGACCUUGCGCUAAUAGAUGAGCCAAAGUCGGAUUAGCUAGUUGGUGGGGUAAAGGCCUACCAAGGCGACGAUCUGUAGUGGGUCUGAGAGGAUGAUCCGCCACACUGGGACUGAGACACGGCCCAGACUCCUACGGGAGGCAGCAGUGGGGAAUAUUGGACAAUGGGGGGAACCCUGAUCCAGCCAUGCCGCGUGUGUGAAGAAGGCCUUAUGGUUGUAAAGCACUUUAAGCGAGGAGGAGGCUCUUUUGGUUAAUACCCAAGAUGAGUGGACGUUACUCGCAGAAUAAGCACCGGCUAACUCUGUGCCAGCCGCCGCCGUAA